CUUCAAGCAUUUAUCAUAUCGUCCUAACUCAACCUCAGCAUCACGAGGGAGUUGACCAAUGAUGCGAUUGGUAUGAUCACCAACAGUAAAUUUGAAAUGUGAUAAUGGUGGAGAUGUUGGUAUGGUAUCCCAAUUAAAAUGGCUCAAUAGUUCCACAGUGGGGAAGUAGAACUGAAGUGUAUCUAAUGUUGUUACUGUGCAAACCUCCAAAACAACACGUCCCACAGAUGCUUUCCACCGAUCAUCUUCUGGACUCACAUCAAUAUAUAAAUUUUCCAACUUGGAUAGAUUUGGUAUAACCCCAACAGGAAUCACCGUCUUUGGUUGCUGAUUGAAACUGAUGGGUUCACGAAAUGACAAUUUUAAGGAUGUGAGAUUCUUCAGUCGUUCAACUUCUUUUGGUAGAGCUAUGAUCUCUGUCCCUUCAAGAUGAAAUACCUCAAGGCAACUCAGAUUUCCAAUUCCGGAUGGUAAUAAUUUUAACAGAACACAGUGAUUCAAAAAGAAGCUUUUAAGAUUGACCAAUUUGAAAAGAGGAUCCGGCAAAGACUUGAUGGGAGUUCUAGAUAAGUUUAGGAUUUGUAGAUUAAGCAUGCCCUGGAAAAAUGAGUCGGAUAUUUUCCUCAAUUUAAGGUUUCUUUGCAGGAACAAUGCUUGGGCUUGGGGGCAGCUCAGAUUCUCUGAUAACUCAGUUAGCUUAUUAUCCAUCAAGUAAAUCUCAUGGAACUUUGUCCAAUCCACAUCCUUUGGUAGCUCAGUCAAUUUACUAUUUUUCCUCAUAAGAAACAAUCCUUCUACAGAUGGAAAAACAUGUUCUAGUAAUAAACAGCGAUCUGUCUCAUGUAGCUUGAAAAUGUGUCCAUCCUCAGAACUCUCCAACAGGCCAGCAUUGACAAGAGUUUCAAGAACUUUUUGGCCUUUCUGAUACAUAUCUGUCAAGUCAUCAGAUAUCCAGUUGUCUAUCAAUGACUCUCUUGCAAUCUCCUGGUUCUCAAAAUACAGUGCGCAAUUUUUCAAGCAUCUUCUAGUUGUAUCAU
rnacentral:misc_RNA from 1 species